ACUGUUUAGAGACAUGCCACUGCCUAGUACCUGGAUGUGAUCAUGUAACUGGUGUCUGUAACAUAAGUGACUGUCAGUCCGGAUGGCAGGGCCAGUCCUGCAAUAUAAGUAGCCAACCUGAACAACAAGAGAGCACUUCAGAAGAGUUAACUAAUAAUAAUGUUUUCAUUGUUGUCAUCUGUCUUGGAGUCGUCUUACUAAUUUCUAUUGCAACAAACGUUUGGCUAUACGUCACAAGGAAAAGAAUACUGAAGGAUAACACCGACAAUGAACCAUGUUAUCAGAAUGUACUUCAUCCUCAACAAAAUUCAACUAUUUCGUCUCAGCCUGAAUACGAGGACUUACAAGUUCGCAACGUAGUGAAAAAGGCGUAUGAAAACGUUAGUUACGACACUGGAUAUGACACCGUGGAGCUACGUAUAGGAAACAAUAGGACGGCACACAUGUGACCAUUUGUUUUCAACACAGAGCAAUAAAGGCAGAUAUUUCGGAGGAGAUGCAGUACAGGAAAAGUAUCUCCAGUGUAAAUAUCCAUGAUGCUGAAAAAUACUUCAUUAUAGCGAUUCGUUUACAGGAAGAGUUUGUCAAUUUGAAAUUGAUCAGGCGGCUACAUUGUGCGACAUAAAGGUGUUUUUCUUAUCUAGACGAGUUUAAUUCACAACGAUUUACCUGUAAAAAGGAACAUCAAAAUAAAACGGCAAACUUUUCAAAUGCAAGACGCUUUUCAAUUCCUUUAAUGGGUUCAAUUGCUCUGAAGGCACCCAUUUAUGCAUUCCGAAGACUUGCACAUUAUUUGUUUAAUGCAGCAUUACUGCGCAUCUUUAUUAACAUUUGACGUCAGUUGGACGCUUCUGAAGUUGUUAGUUUCAUGCAUCAAACUAACACAGGUAAGAAAUAAUGUAAGCCUUUAAAACUUACAUGUAGAUUAUGUAUACGAGAAUACCUGAUAAAAGUCAGAUCGAGCCGCAUGCCUUAUCACUGUUUCCUACUGAUGUGAAAUAUUUUGCCGAUUUUAAUCUAUUUGUAACCAAAUUUAGAUAUCACAAUGACAAAUUAAUGGAGUCUAUAUGUCGAUAACAUAUUACACCCUGUUGAAGACACUCUCGAUGAAUGGUCUCCUUGCUUUAGAUAAUCGCCGAGACGAGGUUGUAAUCUAUGACAUUUAUUGACAUUUAUAAUGCAUUUCUACUUAUCAAAACGUGAGGAUCAUUACCAAUACGUCGCAUUCAAUGGACCAUUUGCCGUGAAACACUUCUCAUUAUAUAUAAUUGAUCUACAACCUAUACGAGAUUAUUUCGAUAGCAAUAUAACAUGUCCUAAUCUUCUAUUCUAUACUUGUAACAUAUUUUGAAAACAUUUAAAAGUUUCUGAAAGCAGUCGGUCUUUACCAAAAGAUAAACUGAUUGAUGGUCACACUUAUCCUUUUAAACUUACCAAGUGAAAGUACCAACAUUUUUAUAUCAAUUUCAUUUGUUUGGUGUUAUUUUGUUUAACACAUAUAAUAACCCACCGAUGAUUGGCCCAAUGACCUUAUCUGUGUUAAUGAACCGUUGAGAAUUUUAAAUAAUAACAAUAAUUACGUGUUGUUUAGUUUUACUCUGAACGCCAGUGUGUGAAGUCUUUAAAAUAGCGAAGUCACCGUUGUCUUAACGAGACUCGUAACACUACAAUAACGUGUGCGAGCAAAUGAGUCAAUUUUACGUAAGGCUUAUAACCUGUUCUUCAUAAUGACUAAAGAUAGAAUUAAAGUUAAUUA